AACACACCUAUUCAAGGAUUCAA
rnacentral:miRNA from 1 species